UACGUAGGGAGCAAGCGUUGUCCGGAAUCAUUGGGCGUAAAGCGCGCGUAGGCGGCCCUGUAAGUCCGCUGUGAAAGUCAAAGGCUCAACCUUUGAAAGCCGGUGGAUACUGCAGGGCUAGAGUCCGGAAGAGGCGAGUGGAACUCCUGGUGUAGCGGUGGAAUGCGCAGAUAUCAGGAAGAACACCAACGGCGAAGGCAGCUCGCUGGGACGGUACUGACGCUGAGGUGCGAAAGCGUGGGGAGCGAACAGG
rnacentral:rRNA from 1 species